UACCCGCCUGGAAUUAAGCAUAUCAAUAAGCGGAGGAAAAGAAACCAACAGGGAUUGCCUCAGUAACGGCGAGUGAAGCGGCAACAGCUCAAAUUUGAAAUCUGGCUCCACAGGGUCCGAGUUGUAAUUUGCAGAGGAUGCUUCGGCGACGGUCCCAGUCCAAGUGCCUUGGAACAGGACGUCAUGGAGGGUGAGAAUCCCGUACGUGACUGGCGGCCGCCGCCGGGUGAAGCUCCUUCGACGAGUCGAGUUGUUUGGGAAUGCAGCUCUAAAUGGGUGGUAAAUUUCAUCUAAAGCUAAACAUUGGCCGGAGACCGAUAGCGCACAAGUAGAGUGAUCGAAAGAUGAAAAGCACUUUGAAAAGAGAGUUAAACAGUACGUGAAAUUGUUGAAAGGGAAGCGUUGGCGACCAGACGUGACGCCUGGGGCUCAACCAUGAUUUUUCACGGUGUAUUCCCCAGAGGUCAGGCCAGCAUCAGUCUUGACGGUCGUACAAAGGCCCUGCGAACGUAGCUCCCUCCGGGGAGUGUUAUAGCGCAGGGAGCCAUGCGACCUGUUGGGACUGAGGAACGCGCUUCGGCCCCGANGCNGGGGUAAUGGUCUUNNANNACCCGUCUUGAAACNCGGACCAAGGNGUNUAACAUCUAUGCGAGNGUUUGGGUGUCAAACCCNCCCNGGGAANGAAAANGAANGGAGGGUGGGAACCCUUCCNGGGNGCNCCNUCGACCNAUCCCAANGUNUUNGGAUGGAUUUGAGUAAAGNNUANCUUUUGGGACCCNAAAAANGNGNACUAUGCCNGNAAAAGGGGGUAANNCAUNCCCUUUGCNUUUUUUGGUAAAUUUUUUUUUUUUUGUAGAAGCCAGAGGAAACUCUGGUGGAGGCUCGCAGCGGUUCUGACGUGCAAAUCGAUCGUCAAAUUUGGGCAUAGGGGCGAAAGACUAAUCGAACCAUCUAGUAGCUGGUUCACGUCGAAGUUUCCCUCAGGAUAGCAGUAACGUGUUCAGUUUUAUGAGGUAAAGCGAAUGAUUAGAGGCCUUGGGGCUGAAACAGCCUUAACCUAUUCUCAAACUUUAAAUAUGUAAGAAGUCCUUGUUACUUUGUUGAACGUGGACAUUGGAAUGCACCGUUACUAGUGGGCCAUUUUUGGUAAGCAGAACUGGCGAUGCGGGAUGAACCGAACGUGAGGUUAAGGUGCCGGAAUUCACGCUCAUCAGAUACCACAAAAGGUGUUAAUUCAUCCAGACAGCCGGACGGUGGCCACGGAAGUUGGAAUCCGCUAAGGAGUGUGUAACAACUCACCGGCCGAAUGAAUUAGCCCUGAAAAUGGAUGGCGCUCAAGCGUGAUACCUAUACCUCACCGCCAGGGUAGACACCAUGCCCUGGCGAGUAGGCGUGCGUGG
rnacentral:rRNA from 1 species